rnacentral:rRNA from 1 species
UACGUAGGGGGCAAGCGUUAUCCGGAUUUACUGGGUGUAAAGGGAGCGUAGACGGCAGCGCAAGUCUGGAGUGAAAUCCCAUGGCUUAACCAUGGAACUGCUUUGGAAACUGUGCAGCUAGAGUGCAGGAGAGGUAAGCGGAAUUCCUAGUGUAGCGGUGAAAUGCGUAGAUAUUAGGAGGAACACCAGUGGCGAAGGCGGCUUACUGGACUGUAACUGACGUUGAGGCUCGAAAGCGUGGGGAGCAAACAGG